GACGAACGCUGGCGGCGUGCUUAACACAUGCAAGUCGAACGAAGUGGCGAACGGGUGAGUAACGCGUAAUCAACCUGCCCUUCAGAGGGGGACAACAGUUGGAAACGACUGCUAAUAACGCAUACUGAAGGAGGGGAUUGCGUCUGUUUAGCUAGUUGGAGGGGUAACGGCCCACCAAGGCGAUGAUCAGUAGCGGGUCUGAGAGGAUGAACGGCCACAUUGGGAGUGAGACACGGCCCAGACUCCUACGGGAGGCAGCAGUGGGGAAUCUUCCGCAAUGGACGAAAGUCUAACGGAGCAACGCCGCGGUAAUUC
rnacentral:rRNA from 1 species